AGGAACACCACCUGGCGCUGUUAUCCUGGAGGCUCCUUUUACCAACAUCAGAGAGCAGGCCAAAAGCUACACCUUCUCCACGAAUGUCUCCGAUCUGCUAGUUUUCGACUGGUUCAUCAGGGCCAUCACUCCCAAUGACCUCCGAUUUCCCAGUGAUGAGAAUUUGAAUCAUAUCUCAUGUCCAGUCCUGAUUCUUCAUGCUGAAGACGAUACUGUCAUCCCCUUCAAGUUUGGAGAAAAG